rfam:Triticum aestivum genome assembly, contig: Triticum_aestivum_CS42_TGACv1_scaffold_499405_6BL
UAAAUACUCCCUCCGUUCCAAAAAAUCUUGUCUUAAAUUUAUCUAGAUACGAAUGUAUCUAACACUAAGAUGUGACUAGAUACAUACAUAUGUAGACAAAUCUAAGACAAGAAUUUUGGGACGGAUGGAGUACAAG